rnacentral:rRNA from 1 species
AAGACUUGGCGGUGCCCUAUACCACCUAGAGGAGCCUGUUCUGUAAUCGAUAACCCCCGUUCAACCUCACCAUCCCUUGCCAAACACUGCCUGUAUACCUCCGUCGUCAACUUACCCCUCAAGGGAAAAAGUCGGUUUAAUGGCUUAUCACCAAAAAGUCAGGUCAAGGUGCAGCGAAUGAGAUGGGAAGAAAUGGGCUACAUUUUCUACCAAUAGACUAAACGGAAAAUCACUAUGAAAUCUGAUUGGAAGGCGGAUUUAGCAGUAAAAAGAGAUUAGAGCGCUCUUUUUAAGUUGGCUCUAGGGCGCGCACACACCGCCCGUCACCCUCUUCGACUCUGUACCUUAUAUUUAUAAUACCCCAAGAAGAGAAAAGAAGAGGCAAGUCGUAACAUGGUAAGUCCACCGGAAGGUGGACUUGG